rnacentral:rRNA from 1 species
CCUACGGGAGGCAGCAGUGAGGAAUAUUGGUCAAUGGACGAGAGUCUGAACCAGCCAAGUAGCGUGAAGGAUGACUGCCCUAUGGGUUGUAAACUUCUUUUAUAUGGGAAUAAAACGUUCCACGUGUGGGAUUUUGUAUGUACUUUAUGAAUAAGGAUCGGCUAACUCCGUGCCAGCAGCCGCGGUAAUACGGAGGAUCCGAGCGUUAUCCGGAUUUAUUGGGUUUAAAGGGAGCGUAGGUGGAUUGUUAAGUCAGUUGUGAAAGUUUGCGGCUCAACCGUAAAAUUGCAGUUGAAACUGGCAGUCUUGAGUACAGUAGAGGUGGGCGGAAUUCGUGGUGUAGCGGUGAAAUGCUUAGAUAUCACGAAGAACUCCGAUUGCGAAGGCAGUUCACUGGACUGCAACUGACACUGAGGCUCGAAAGUGUGGGUAUCAAACAGGAUUAGAUACCCCAGUAGUC